UUGAGCGAUUUACUUCGGUAAAGAGCGGCGGACGGGUGAGUAACGCGUGGGUAACCUACCCUGUACACACGGAUAACAUACCGAAAGGUAUGCUAAUACGGGAUAAUAUAUUUGAGAGGCAUCUCUUGAAUAUCAAAGGUGGGCCAGUACAGGAUGGACCCGCGUCUGAUUAGCUAGUUGGUAAGGUAACGGCUUACCAAGGCGACGAUCAGUAGCCGACCUGAGAGGGUGAUCGGCCACAUUGGAACUGAGACACGGUCCAAACUCCU
rnacentral:rRNA from 1 species